GUUUCAACGGGAGUGCAGCGAGUGAGAGCGCCCAGAUCAUUCCAGAAGAGCCCUAGGAAAGAGAAUAGCUUUGGGAGAAAGCAAAAUUCCAAACCAACAAUCUGGAAAAGCACUGCCGUAUCAGAGAGGCCGAUUUGGGUCUAUCAUGUUUAUUUAUGAGCGUUAGACUAUAGAAAGAAUAACCUCAUUUGACAUCGAAAGCUCAAAGCACUUUCCACAUUCACACACCCUUUUUUCCCCCGGAGAACCAGUUUCAUUUUCCCUUUAUUCUCCUUGCUUUCAUUUAAAAUCUGGUUUUCCGCCCCUGCUACUCUCCUCUGUUUCUUGAAGAUGAACGACCCCAAGUACGCUUAUCCCUACCCUGCCCAAGGGUAUUACCAAGGCCCUCCAGUGAUGGCACCCCCACAAUACGCAGCUCCACCACCCAGAAGAGAACCAGGUUUCCUUGAGGGAUGUCUGGCGGCUUUGUGUUGCUGUUGCCUGAUUGAUGAGUGUUGCUGCGACCCCUCUAUCAUCUUCGUCAGCUAGUAAUGUUGUUGAUUCCACCAUGGAUAAAUCAUCCCACUUUCUCCUUUUUAUUUUGCUUCUGCUGAUUUAUGUAUGAGGCUUGAAUGUAUUCAUGUGUGAUGUUGUAGAAUUGUUACUCUGCCUGUUAAGACGCUUCCCUUCUGUUCCUUAUUUUCACAUUUAUGGAGGAGUCUUCUGUCUUACACA